CCAUAGCCGUAGACGCUUAACCGAGACAGUUUAUUAAAUAUUUAAAUUCGUCAUUUGUUUUGUGCAUACGAAGAUAAAAGGGGGUAAAAUAGUUUUGGCAUGGCAUAAUGGAUAUGAAUCUGCAUCGUCAACCCAGUCGACGCCUGUACUAAGGCAGCAGAUUAAUGAAAUUAAGGAUAAUAUAGUGAAAGGCAAAUAUAUGUACAGUGGUUAUUGAAGCUAGAAAAGCAAGGUUUGGGAAAUUUUUGGCAAGGUUGAAAAUAGUGGCAGUUUGGUAAGAGAUUUUGUUGCAUGCAAAAAUUGUAACAGCGUUUUGAAAUUUAUGAAUAGCACGUCUAACCUUGUGAAACAUAAAUGCUAUAAAAAUUUAAAAAACCGUUCGGAUAACCCAAAGAUAUUAGUGGACAACGACACAAAAAAAAUGUUGCUGAUACGUUCACUGAAUGGGUCACUAAAAAUUACAGACCAUUCAAGAUGAUCGAAGAUGCAGGACUGAAAAAAUAUACGGAUCUCUAAUACCUUCAAUUGGAGCUAAGUAUGAGUCGAUGUAGAUACUGAUCAACUAUUACCUCAUCCAACAACGAUAUCCCGAAACAGAGACAAUCUAUACAAUAUAACCCACGAUUCCUUAAAAUUAGAACUAAGUGAACUUAGUACCUUUGGACUUAACUCAGAUUUAUGGACCGAUAAUUAUUUAAAACAAUCGUUUUUGUCUAUGACUAUUCACUAUAUAAAAAGCGGAAAAAUUGGAAUGAAGCUUAUUGCUUUUCGAUCAAUGGAUUUUGAAUCUUGUAGCAGUAAGUAUUUGUUGAAACGGUAUAUACUUAUUUGCAGAUAUGUAUGUAUGUGCACGUACUAUAUGUGGUGUCAAGUACAACAAUUUGUUGUAAUUUCAAGAAAUGUUUACCACAAUUGCACACUAAUAUUUCAGUGCUCGCAGCUGUACAUACGUAUUUUCAAAUCAAACUUGAUAUUUCGUAGG